UUGGACGGUUCGGCGGGCCGGAUUCGGCCCGCGGGCCGCCAGUUGAUGAUCACUGCUCUAUAUAGUUAGCCCUCCUAUUACUUUUGGGGUCAGUUUGACUCCAUUCAAUCUUUAAAGUCUCUAAAUAAAUGAUUGACGUUUUUUUUUUUUUUUUUUUUUUUUUUGCUUCAUAUUUAAUGACGUUUCUUAAUUUGAUGAGGACGACUGGGUAAACAUAAAAUGAACAUGAUGAUAUGUUUUCAAUGUCCUGUACACAUAUUAUACGCAUCGGUGUCCUUUGUUUUAGCUGUAUAAAACAGCUAUCAACAUUUUACACACAUUUGUGUUGGUUAUUUUGGAUGAUAUUGAGGUCAGCACAAUAUGCACUUCUAUAAUCUUCCAAAUGCUUCAAGGCCCUGCUGUAACACCCGUAUGGCUCAACGUGUUACGCGGGUGACGCAUGUACAGAGCUGGCCCCCCGACGCAGCGGCCCGGGUUCGAUUCCCCGCUCGCGGCCCUUUGCUGCAUGUCUUCCCCCAACUCUUCUCCCCUGUUUCCUGUCUCUAUCUCACUGUGCCUAAAUAAAGCCGAUAAAAGGCCAAAAAAACAGCGUAAAAAAAAAAAAAGAUUUGAAUUUACUUUUGUAAAUUUUACUUUGUUGUUAGUAAGUUGCUGCCACUUACAGCAGUGUUGACAGGCUUUUUUGAGAAAAUGCAGUCAUAGUCUGUUCAUCACACCCGUGUUUAAUUUGAAUAAAGGAUAAAAGAAGCACUGUAAUGCUUUGUGUUUCUUGUUCCCAUUUUACGCUCUGAACAUAAUGAACCAUGAUCUCAAAGCUGAGUGUGUGUGCCCAACAGUGAUUUUUGUGUACUGCUACACCCUUACCUCUUCCUGUGUAAUUCAGUAGCAUUUGCCAUUUAUUGUCCUCUUGCACUGCUGUGACUGACACUUUGUUUUUUGCUCCAUAGGACCAGACCUGCUGGGAUCUGUACAGAUGUCUCGAUGAGGGUGGGAGUGGUUUCAGUAAAGGAGAGCUGGAUCAGUCUACAAACACAUUGUUGUAACCAGUGUGGGAAAUCUUUCAGGCAGUCAAGUUAUUUGAAACGUCAUAUGCUCAUCCACACGGAAGAAAUUAGUUUUUUACUGUGAUAUUUCCUCAUGUUUGACAAAGUGGUUAUUAUCUUAACUGUGAAAUAAAAGCCCUCCUUAAACAUUAUUUAAUCUAGUCUCUUUUUCAAAAGAGGCCUGAGAACAACAGACAUUCCAAUAAACUACCCUUAGUUAGUAAAGUGAAACUAAAUCAAUCGUAUUUUUAACUAUUGUAACCAAACCUCCACUGCCAUAUUAGAACAGGAUAUGCUUUUAUUUCUAAAACAUUGCCAAUGAUUUUGACAAAUCAUUCUGUGGUUUUAUUUGAGAAAGUUGUUGCCCCAGCAUUGUCCUACAGGGGGCAGUUGUUUUAAAACUACAUUUGUCUUCCAUGUGUCACCAUUUGCUUGCAUAUUUCAUAAACAUCACAAUCACUAAUUUCCAACUCUAUACUGAUGAUAUUUUCCUGGUUUUCUUAGCUGGCUGGAGAUGAAUUUUUGCAUCCCUACCCUGAUUUUCAUUAUCGAGGCUCGCUUUUUCCCCUAACAUUCUCCCACAACGGGAGUGUUUGACCUUUAAAGUCAAGGUUUCUUCUACUGACCGGCACCUUUGUGAUUAAUCCUUGCAGCUCUACUGCAUGAUCUACUGUUUGCUUUACCCCGUUAGUCAUUCUCUACUAACACUGCAGUUUCUGCUGCUGCCGGUUUUCAACAAAUUCCAGGAGAAGAACAUACAUUACUCCCAUUCACGUCUCCCUGUGAUUUACUAUUGAUUUAGCUGAUUUAGCUUUAAAGCACAGCAUGCUCCCCUUCUGUCUUCCGUUAGGCUCUGCUAAGCCUCCUGCUGCUGAAGCUUCUUACCUGAGCAUUGGUUUGGAAAAAUAAGUAAAUAAAGUCCAAGGACUCACCUAUGUGGGCCCCUCAAAAUUGUUCAUUAUCACUCCCUGUUUUACCUCUACAAUUUUUUUGUCAUGUUUUUUAACGGUUUAUUCAGUGUUAUUGUAUAACUUUGUUUUUCAAAGCGGUGUCAAUGUUUUAAAGCUUUAUACCCAUGGGAGAUGACUUUUAAUGUGUUUUUCAUCCCACCAAAUAGAGGUGGGAUAUUUGCAUGCAUUGCACUUAUCAGCCAGGAAUAGAGCUAAAGAUGAAAUAACCCAGGUUUGACUCCUCUGUCAGUAAAAAGUAUUUUUCUGUACAAACUGUCUCUUAAUGUUAAAUGAAUGCAUUUAAAUUGCAUAUGAACUGUUCCAUCAGUCGCUUUGGUUUGACAUCAAACAAACAGUUUAUUGGCAUUUCAAAAUGAAUGCAUCCCUUUCCAUUUGACAAACAAAGGAAGUUUUUCUCUCAGCAAAAUAUAGGCUUUGUUAUAAUAAUAAUAAUAAUAAUAAUAAUAAUAAUAAUAAUAAUAAUAAUAAUAAUAAUAAUAAUAAUAAUAAUAAUAAUAAUAAAACAAAAAAAAAAACAAGGAGGACAAGCACAAAUUCUUUGGACUUGCUUGGUAACCAACUACAGAGCAAGUGGUGGGAUAGUAGGCUGAAGCCUGGAGGCUGAAAUCACCAAAAUGUGGGCAGAAAAAAACACAUGCGCUGAAAGCUAUCCAGACCUUGUGAUGGGGACAUACUUAACGUAAUUCAAAAAACUAACAAAAACAAGGAGUGAGCUAGAAUAACAGAAAUGUUAGCAUGCUAUGCUAAUGUAGCAAGCUACAGGACCGAUUCAGGGCAUUAACUUACUGUUUACAUGCUGCCAACAACAUGGACUGCACUCACAUUUUGCUGAAUGAUUUUGUGGAGGUUGAUCAGAACAAUCUGAUGCCUCAUCUCAUUUCCCAGUUUGUACGUCCGCAAUCUGAGGAGUCAAGGCAACAGGCAUUUCAUUUAAAUGAGACAUCUUUGCCCUGGAGCUGUUGUUUUAAUGUGGCAUCAGUUAAACACAACGCAGCUGCAUCAUCUGUCUAUUGUUUUGCUAUAAUAUACCCCUGUUAUACAUUAUACUAUUUUAAGAUCCCUGUCAGGAGCAGAAAAGUGUUCAUGAUAACUUACAGUACAUAAUUACUCAUAAUUCAAUUCACAAUGUGGCAACAUGUAACAAGAACGUACAGAUGAUAUCCUUUCAUUAUUUAAGAAAUUCUCUUGAAAUGGAAUUGCAGAUGGAAUGACCUGCUUAGCCUGCUGGAACUGGUUAUGUGGAGGGAAAUGAAUGGAUGGAUGAAUGUGUCAGCAUCGAAGAACGGUCUAUGUGCACCUAUUGCUAUUCUGCUGUGGGUGGAAAUACGUCCCGGUUUCUUUGUAUGUCUUUACCCCAGUCAGUCAAAAUCAUAUUAGGCAUGCAGCAAUGGUGUCCCUGCAAAAUCACCUCUGAGGGAAUUUGUUUUGGUGGAACAUUUGUGCAUAUAGAAGUGAGCACCUUCAUUAAAAUGGCUAAUUCACUGAAAGAACCAAGCGGACCUGCCUGCCAUUUUCAGCACGGUGACUAGCACUGUGAUUGUUGCUUUUUCCAAAGUAAAUGGGAAAACAGUAACGCUCGAAUAGCAAAAGGGGAAAAGAAUAUUACAUGAAAUGCUGCUGGAAAUGGCAGGCACCUACCUGCAACAGCACAUUUGGUGAGUCAGACUGAAAAUGUGUUAAGAACAUGUCCAAUGUUCAGGAUUCUUUUUUUUUUUUUUUUUUUUUUUUUAAAAAGGCUUUUUGCUGUCUAAAACGGGGAGGAAGUAGCUCAAGGGACAUUCAGAUUUGUUAAUGAAGAGUUACUGGAGUCUUAAUUCAUUCUGUUUUGUUAAUGAAAUGAGUAAGAAACCACAUUUUCAGAGAUUUCAGAACUGACAGGACUGAUUAUAGAGUUGAAUCUGUGAAAUCAAAUCUUUCGAUACUCAGCCUUGUUUUAUCAUCCUGUUUAAUAAAGCUUUAAGUCUGUUGUUUUUAGACUUUCAUAGUAAAUGACUCCUUAGGUGUUUCACCUUUUUCUCCUGCUGUUUUUUUUUCUUCUUUGCAUUUAGCCACACUUUAAUCUGUGAUUAAAACUUUCUACUGUGUCUCUCUGCUUCCUGACUGUUCCACCUGCCUGCAGUCUGAUUGCAGCAAUGAGAAUCAGCUGCCGUAAUUGGCUCACACCAGUCACCUGUUUGCAAUUCCACCUCCCAGCAUAUAAGCCAGCUCUGUCAUUCACUCCCUGCUCCACCACGGACGCGCACAUCCUGCGUCGACUCGUGACCACCAGAGCUUCUUGGACACGACUCUGCCCUCGUGCCCCUGCCGGUUCCUGUAUGGGUUUCCUACCUACCCCUUCAGCUGAGUUUCUUCCCGUGCCCUUCCUCCCUGACUGUUCCACCUGCCUGCAGUCUGAUUGCAGCAAUGAGAAUCAGCUGCCGUAAUUGGCUCACACCAGUCACCUGUUUGCAAUUCCACCUCCCAGCAUAUAAGCCAGCUCUGUCAUUCACUCCCUGCUCCACCGUGGACGCGCACAUCCUGCGUCGACUCGUGACCACCAGAGCUUCUUGGGCACGACUCUGCCCUCGUGCCCCUGCCGGUUCCUGUAUGGGUUUCCUACCUACCCCUUCGGCUGAGUUUCUUCCCGGUCCCUUCCUCCCUGACUGUUCCACCUGCCUGCAGUCUGAUUGCAGCAAUGAGAAUCAGCUGCCGUAAUUGGCUCACACCAGUCACCUGUUUGCAAUUCCACCUCCCAGCAUAUAAGCCGGCUCUGUCAUUCACUCCCUGCUCCACCACGGACGCGCACAUCCUGCGUCGACUCGUGACCACCAGAGCUUCUUGGACACGACGCUGCCCUCGUACCCCUGCCGGUUCCCGUUUGGGUUUCCUACCUACCCCUUCAGCUGAGUUUCUUCCCGUGACCAUCUGCUACAAAGCAUUACCGGGUAACAAAUACACCUGAUGAAGAUCAGAAAUAUUCAAGCAGAAACCUUCAGCUUCCACGAAGGUGGAAAUCAUUCUGCCAUGAAGACCUAACAACCUUCAAAGACAAUUUGAAAAUGGUUGCCUGCUAAUCUUGAUUUGGAAGUAGAGGCUCGAGGAAAUGGACAAGGAAUACUAGAGUACAGGGAAAGACGACCACGGGUUGUGACCUAUUACAAUCAGCUGCAUGAGGUGGAAGAGAAAAUGCCCUGCAAGCACUUUGAUCUCAACGUCACUUUUGAAGGAUCCAGCGGGCUCUAGGACCCAGAGACGUCAGGAUGGUGGUUCUUGAUGUCAGUCUACCAACUGGAUUCACCCCAGAAAACUCUGACCUGGAGAUGGUAAUCACCUUCUAGUGCUAGUGCAGAAAAAUCUGAAAGCUUGUGUCAAUGGUGUAUUUGCGUGUCUUUAAAAUGAAUGUAGUAUUUUAAAUAAAAGUUUGUAAAAAGUUUACUACAUCAUGAUAAUGACCUUCUAAUGGAUGAGACAGGAAUGAUCGCAUGUUUAGGACGGCGGCGUUGCUAACUAGCUAACAGCUGACUCUGUUUAUGU